CUCAGGCGACACCUGCAAUUUCUCCCCUUCGCUGCUGCCUCUCCUUUGCCCUCUUACCAUGACUCUCCACUUGCGGCAACCUACCUCCUCUCCCUUCGCCCCGCUUCUUGGUCCCACUCCUCUAUGUCCUCUUCCUCCUUUAUCUCGGCAGCUGCCUCUUCUCGCCAUCCUCCGGCCAACAUCUCCGGAGCCAUCAAGGGAAAGGGGAGGCCAUCGGCAAAGCCUCUCUCAAAGAGAGCAGCCCGGGAGUGCAAGGCAACGUCACACAGCCUGCCCACUGCUCCCAAACCUUCCUGGGGCUUCAGGGGAAAGGGGAGGCCAUCAGCAACCCGGGUGGGUGGGGCAAUGGCACGUGCCACACUCGGGCAAUUCGGCUCCAGGGACCACACAUUCGCUCCAUAAGACGCGCAGACAUUUCCCCUUACUUUUUGAAGGUACCUUUUAUCAUAUGUGGUGGGAAUGGAAGAAAGUGAAAUGCUUUUGGAAUAUGAUAUAUGAUAAAAUUAAGAAAAUGUUGAAAUAUACAUACAUUAGAAACCGGAAGCUUUUCUACUGGGAAUUGUAGGUACAGACAUUAACAGACAAGAUACUAAGCUUUUCCUAUAUGCAACAAGCAGCAAGAAUUUUAUUAGCACAGAAGUGGAAACAAGGAAUUACUGACAAAGGAAGAAUGGCAAUUGAAGUUAAUGGAGUAUGCGGAACUGGCCAAAAUGACAGGAAGAAUCUGAGAACAGCAGGACCAGAAGUUCAUCAAGGACUGACUAAAUUUGUAAAUUAUUUUAAAGACAAUUUUAGUCAAUAAAACAUGUUGGUAGGAUUGCAAGAAGCUUUGUAAGGAAAGGUAUAAAAAUCACUGCAGAGAAGAAUAAGAAAAAAUGAUGCUUUGAUGUUUUUUAUUUGAAAGCAAUGGUUAAGUAGUGAAAAUGCAGAAAUUUGAAAUGAAAGAUAGAAAAUCAUAAGGAAGGUUUGAAGGAAGUCAUGGCCCUAAAAAGGCAAAUUGUAUAAUAUAAAAGGAGAGAUUGUAAUGGAAAGCAUUAUUGGAAAAUUAAUAAAACUGAUAUGGCAAAAAACCAAAAAAGACAUUUCCCCAUUUUAGGAGGAAAAAAGUGCGUCUUAUGGAGCGAAAUAUACAGGAUAUAUUUUUAAAAACAAUAUCUGUUGCUAAUCAUGAUAAUGCUGGUCAUACUUGCUUCUUGAUCUCAAGAAGCCCAGACAUAAAGUAAUUUGCUUGACAUAUAUAGAAGAGUUUGGAUUUGAUAUCCCACUUUAUCACUACCCGAAGGAGUCUCAAAGCGGCUAACAUUCUCCUUUCCCUUCCUCCCCCACAACAAACACUCUGUGAGGUGACUGGGGCUGAGAGACUUCAGAGAAGUGUGACUGGCCCAAGGUCACCCAGCAGCUGCAUGUGGAGGAGUGGAGACGCGAACCCGGUUCCCCAGAUUAUGAGACUACCGCUCUUAACCACUACACCACACUGGCUCCACAUAUACAGGAGCAAAAGAAACUGCAUUGUACUGAGUGAGACCCUUAGUCCAUCUAGCUCAGUGUUGUCUCCAUUGAUAGGCAGUGGCUGUCCAGUAUUUAAGGCAGGCACCUUUUCCAGCACUAGAUAUGCUAGGGACAGAACCUGGGAUCUUCUUAAUGCAAAGCUGCCGCUCUACUAAGGGUCUGGUUUAUGAUAGCACGAAAAUUGGCUAGGCUUGGGAUGUGGCACCCAUUAUGUUUAAGUUGCUCACUAAGAAGGCAAAGCCGUUGUGCAGAUGAUUUUCAAUCAGCGAAGACACAUAGUCCAGAAUUAGAUUACGUAUCUGCUCAUGAUUUGAAUUGUUUGUAGACUCUGAUUUAGCAUCUGAUGACUUACAAAGCUAUCCUGCUUAUCUUGUUUAAACUUCAAAAGAGAUUAAGUUGCCCAAGUAACUAUUUUGCUCUAGCAGCACAGAUUUCACAGGUUUUAUUUUCAUUCACUUGUAGAGGACUGAGAGCCUUCAAUGUGCUUUGAUCAAAAACAGUUCCUGCAAUGCAUCUUAAUUUCCAGUAGAUUUGUUUAGGAAGGAAGAAAUGUUUUGUAGCACUUCACAUAAAAAUGGUUGGACUCAAUCAAAAUGAGGGCUGUGUUGCCUCUGGUAUGGUACCUGUUCUGAGUCUGGGAGUUAGAAUAGAAUCAUAGAAUCAUAGAGUUGGAAGAGACCACAAGGGCCAUCGAGUCCAACCCCCUGCCAAGCAGGAAACACCAUCAGAGCACUCCUGACAUAUGGUUGUCAAGCCUCUGCUUAAAGACCUCCAAAGAAGGAGACUCCACCACACUCCUUGGCAGCAAAUUCCACUGUCGAACAGCUCUUACUGUCAGGAAGUUCUUCCUAAUGUUUAGGUGGAAUCUUCUUUCUUGUAGUUUGGAUCCAUUGCUCCGUUGGAUGCAGUUCUUCCCAUUCUUUAUCCUGUCGUCAUAAAUGCAAAGUAUCACCAUGACUCGACUGCGAAAAUCCCACAAUUAUUUGAAUGCAAGAUCAUCUGAAAUCCCCCUCUUGUGUAGGUUUUAUGGAACGGAACUAGGAAAAUCCUAUGUUGAAUCACAGACAGAUAAAAGAUUCAAAUUCAGUCUUUACAUUGUAUAAGUGGCAAGGUGAGCAGGAGAAGAAUUUAGGAUGAUGGAUGAAUAAGUGCAGAGGCCCGAGGCCUGUUUCCAAACUGUAGGUACAUUCCUGGAAGCUGAGAAUUGUCUAGCCUUUACAUGUGGUAGCAUUUUUCUAAAUGAAUGUGGAGGCAGAUAAGAUUUUACAAUGACUAACUUUUAAAAUGACUAGAUUGUAAAAUGACUAGCUUUCAUACGUAUUGGAAAAGGGGGUCAGAACAUGGAUCUUUUGUUGCCAUCUCAAUGCUGCUGGAAUAAUGUUGAUUGGCCCUUCAGUGUAAGAAAAAUACUUUUCUUUGGUGUAUAAAGUUGCUAAGUAUUAUGUGAACCCCCAUUUGUUUUAGAGGUUCAGCACAUGAAAUAUCCCUCUUCAUUUCCAAUUCACGCCUUAGUCUUUAGUUGUGGAAACACAAUAUGAACCCAGAAUCAUGGUUUACCUCACUCAAGACAAAUCACUAAGUGUAACCAAGGUUUGCCGUGUGGCUUGUCUGGAGAGAGCUAAACCAUGAACCCAGGUUUGGAUGACACACUAAGCCAAACUAUGGCAUAGCACAGUACAUCACAGAGGAGCAAAGUGGAUGCAGUCUUCUCUCUAGGAGCCUGCAUGUUUGUUCACUUGCACCAGUUUGUGACUUGGCUUAAUGUUACAGUACACACAAAUAAGGACGGUGAUCUGUAGUGAGCUUUGGCCACAAUCUGCAAACAGUUUAUGAUAGUUAUGAAAAACCAAGCCAGUUUAUAGCCAACAAUCCUAUCCUGUUCCCCAAAGCUGUUUGCAAACUCUGUUGACAACAGGAGGAACCAUUAGAUUUGACUUCUUUUCGUCUUACCUCCAGUGAAUGAAUUCGCCUUUUCCUAUGCUUGUUACAUUUUACUUUAAGCAGCAGUAGAUAUUCUUACUGCAACUGCAUAAUAUUACUUUGCAAACAUUUCCAUAAAGAAACAGGCUAGUAAGCCAGCCAGAUCAUAGCUGUCAUAAAAAGGAGUAAAAUUACAAAAUAAGAAAACAGGAUUAUUAAAUUGUAUAUUAUUAAGAAGCCAUGCAUUUUUAGUGACUUAAGUUCUACUGUCACAGUCUUAUAGUCAGCUGAAACACAACAUCUCAUAUAAUGUUGUGAUGAAAAAUCAUUUAUGUCAGAUACAUCAUAUAGCCUGCGACAAUUUGGUAUUCAAACUAUUUGGCAUUUCAUUACUUUGAAGUUGUACAGAUGAGCAGAUUUCUGCCAUGCAUUUAUAUACUUCACCAACCUUUCUCUGAAAAGUUGCAUAGAUUAUUUCUGCAUCCCACAUUACAGUACAAGUUUUUUUGGUGUGUUUGUAUCUGCAUCAAUUAUCUGUUUAAAUUUUCACAAGGUGUUAUGAUUACAUCGAUCCCUUUGUUUUAUUACUACAUAUUGGCAAGUCAAAAUAGUCAAGGAAUUUUAUUUGCAAAGAGAUUCAAAGACAACCUGAUUUAUUGUGGUAAUCAGCUUUUGUGGAUGUGGACUACAUACAGCAUAACCAGUUUCAUGGAUUGUUGCUGUGUGCACACACAUUCAUGUGAAUUUUGGCAAAUUGUGCACAUAUGUGUGCACAUACAAGAACACCGUGUUUGUAAAUACUUGGGCUAAAACACUAUGAAAUCAGUGAGCGGAUGACAUUUAUUUGCAGAGCCCAUACAUAUACUAAUAGUGCAGUCACUGUGAUAAUGGUAUUUUUCUAGUGUGACAGAAACCUAUACUCAAUUAAGUUAGAACAGAACAGAAUCAGAUUUGCUGAUAAUUUCCUGUUUAGCAAUUACAUGCUGAAGCUUCUCUUUGAAGUCUUUUUGUUGAAGAAUAUGACUUUGAGAUCAAUAGCUGGGCAUUACUCGGGACUGAAAUAAUCUCCCUCUGGCUGCAAACUGUUGCCGUUUUUAUGUCAGAUGUAUGUCCAUUCUUGUGCACAGGACUCACCUAUUUGUCCUAUGAAUGCAACAGUGAUAGCAUAUUCUGCGCAAGGGAAUCUGCCCUUGAUAUUAUGAUUGAUGUUUUUGGAGUAGCCAUGCCUGUUUAGUUAUGGGGAUUGAGAUGAUGUCAAGAUUUCUUGCAGGGCCUGUUCUGAGUUUUUGUGUCUGUUAGGGUGUAUCCACUCUUACCUUUUGCCCUUCUCUUUCCAGGCACAGGUCCACUCUUAAAAGCUCCAUGUCCAAGCCACUUUUUUGCCCUGGAGCCUUCCCUGAAAAAAAUGCUUUCUUUAGCGUUCAGUCGGAGCAAACAUCAAUUUGGGUUUUCUGCAGAUUGCUGUUUGCUCUGAUUGAGGUUUAAACAGCAGGUUUUUGCAGGGAAAGCUCUGGAGAGAGAGAAAAUGGUGCUUGGAUGUGGAGCUUUAAAGCAUUGAUCAUGCCUGGAAAGAACAGAGGAAAGGUAAAUGUGGAUAAGCCCUUAAUGUUGCUAGUGAGGUUGUUUUGUACUAAAGAGCUGCGGUAAGCACGAACAAUCAACCCACCCAAGGAUUGUGUAUUUGUGAGGCAAGGGAACACUUGCCUCAGUUAAAUUCAGUUAAAUUCAAAACCACAUUCACCCUUUUCCAGAAAUUAAACCUUUUCAUUUUCUGAAAGGGAAAGGACUAUUUAAUUAUGCCACAUAGGCAAAAAUAAUAGUUUAACUUCAGUCAGGGCUCACUUAAGUUUAGCAUUAAAAUAUAUUUUCAGCGCUGUGGCUCAGUCUAAAUGUGAAGGAAUAACUACAUACUAUAUGGGGUAGAAUUGCAACUUACGUUCUGGUGAUCACGCAUAAUGCCCAAAUUGUGUAUAGACAAAAUACACUGGGUACAAUGGUGGGUGGGAUUGCUAAAGCUUUCCCCCUAUUCCUGCCUCCUUUCCACCCCCUUUUUAAUUUUUUUGCCAAAUGUGUAAAACUGAAUGCGUACAAGUUAAAUUUGUGUAAGUUGCAGGUCUACUGUAUAGAGCCCUUUCCACCACCGAGGUAUCCUUAUUUUGGAGUGGCAGGAGAACAUAUUCUAGUUUGGGUGAGAAGGAAGAGAGUGUCAGCUAAUGUGAUAUCAGGCAGAUACCUCAAACCCCACACUUUUUCAAUUUAGAAAAUCAUUGGGAAACUCUUCCUCAAACUCAGCCAAGAGAAAGCAGGCAGUACAAAGCAGUUAGUGCAUUGCUUGUCAUAACUGAAAUUCCAAAGCUAGGUUUUUUUCUGUACAUGGCAUUAAGUGUGUGUGUGUGUGUGUGUGUGUGUGUGUGUGUGUGUGUUGUGGUUCUACUUCAUAGUUCACACUCAGGGGCUCAUUCCCCUCAGAUUUAAAGUAACAUUGGUGAGACACUACUCCCCCCACCUCACAUUAGUGUAAGCAGAUGUUCAUUUUUCUGAAUCAAUCAUUGAAAUAACCAUGAAUCAUGAACUGAACUAUGUGAGCAAUCACAAAUAAGGAAAUUGUCUUGAUAUUUUUUAUUUAGGUGAGUGUGUGUUGUUCAUGCGUGCAGCACAGUGCAAGGGAGUAAGUUUCAAAACCAUUGCCAGACCAAAACAGUAGGCCUGGUGUGCAAUUCAAGCUCUGCCAGUCAGACAGAUAGGCUUUAGUCAUUAUUAGACCACUGGUUUACUGUCUCUCUCUCUCUCUUUUUAAACAUAGAGACAAGAGUCUGAAUGAGCCACCUUAGGGCAUAGGUUGCCUUGUCUCUCUUUGGGCUGUAGACAAGGAACAAGUCUCUCCCACACAAUGAGCAGGUGAUGUGGGUUGCUUUUUCUUACAAAGCAGCUAUUGUUGUGAAAGUGUGGAAGAGGAGCACAUAGGCAUCCAGGAAUCUGUAAUAAUUAUGGAGCCAAUCUGAAUGGAUGAUAAACAUUCAGUCUCUCACAUCCAGGCAAGGAAGCUAAUGUAAAUAGUUUGGGGGGGGGGGCAUUGAGGGUGAAAUACAAUGGAUGUUGACAAAUCAGCCUUGUCUGGAGAUUGGCUAACCGAAACCUUGUUUUCUACAUCAGCAAGUAGUAAUAAAGUUGACAGUGUUGCAUGAGCUCACUUGGUAGAGACUGAGCUGCUUAAUCUCAAGGUGAUGGGUUCCAGCCCCAUGUUGGGCAAAGAUUCCUGCAUUGUAGGGGGUUGGACUAGAGACGAUCCUUCCAACUCUACAAUAUUAUGUUUCUAUGACUGGACUUAAGGUUUUCCACUGAAUAAAAAAUGAUGAACAAUAGUUUAAGAUGAAAAGAGAUGUAAGGGCCCUUAAAACAGUAGAUUUAGUUAAAAUGUCAUUACUUUAAAGAGA
rnacentral:lncRNA from 1 species